ensembl:snRNA U6 U6 spliceosomal RNA
GUGCUAGUUUCAGCAGCACAUAUACUAAAAUUGGGAUGAGACAGAGAUUAGAAUAUCCCUGCAUAAGGAUGACAUGCAGAGUCAUGAAGAAUUUCAUAUUUUA